CAGUACAUUACUGUAAAAAUCCACAGUACUAUACUGUAUGUAUACAUUACAGUACAGUACUGCAGUUCAUAAUGCAUUCUGGGUAAAUUUGUUUGAGCGGGAACAUUUUACAGUAUAUUUUGGUCUUGAUGUAACCUUGCUGUAGCCAUUGCUGUAAUGUGCCAGGUGUACUUGCAAUAAUCAGAGAAAGUGCGCCAGAGUCAAAUCACACAGAGGGAGAGAGAGCACAACUCCUGGCUGCAGCUGAAGGAGGACGAUUGAUUUCUGGCAGUUCGUCUUACCAUUGCUUGUAAGCUGGAUUGGGUAAGAUGGAUCAUCUUUAAAGGCACCAGGAGUUAAGGCAGAUGUGGAGGCACAACGGGUGAUACCAGACACACACCAAGCACAUUAUGUUUGGACAUUCAAUCAUGACAUGAUCCAGGUGGAUGCUGUCCAUUGAGGAAAGAGUUUGUUCAGCGGUUUCUGGAUAGAAUUAAUUCCAAAGAUGGGAAAAAGUGCACAUCCAGACAAGGAGCAAGCAAAAAGACAAGGAACUUGGUGCAGAGAAAAGCUGUGGCCAUUAACCCCCAUGUGAACAGCUUCAUGCAGUCCCUGAUUGAGUUCGAAUGGACGACUUCAAAGUAAAGGCCACUGUGGUCUGUCUGCCACAGUUUAAUUUUUAAUUUAUUUUUAGUGUUCAAUGAAAUUCAAGUAGAAUAUUUAAAACUAUGGGCCAGUGUUCUUUUUACCACAGUGAAAUGUUACCUUUUAGUCGAUGAUGGACUUUAAACUGAAAACUUCAAACUAUGGAACAGUGUUCUAUUUGCCAGAGUUAAAUAUGUUACAGCAGGGGUCUCCAAACUUGUUUAUACUUGUUGAUUUUAUUUUAUGUUACUUGAUUAUAUGUUUAUUAUUGUUUAAAAUCUUGUUUUAAAUAUGUUUGUUUCAAUUAAAUGUUUUUUUAAAUAAAAUUUUGAUACAUACAUUGCUUUGAUUGCCUUUUAAUUCAUUAUGUUUUAAUUUAGCAUUUUUACCAUAUUAAUAACUAUAGAUUUAAACCUAAAUCUCUAGCUAUUUUAUAUAAUAUUAUUGUAUUAACUGUAAUAAGUAAUAAAUAGUAUUUAUGGGUCAAUAUAGACAUUACAGUAAAUUACUGUAAAAAUAGACUACUGUAAUAAAAUAUUGUAAAAUUACAGUACAGUACUGCUUUGUAACUAUACAGUACUAGUUUGUGUACUGUAAAAGGGUAUUACAGUACAGUACUGUAAAACCAAAAUACAGUAACUUACUGGCAACCGUGCUGCCAGUACCGUACUGUAAAAAUA